rnacentral:rRNA from 1 species
UAGGGCACUCUAAUGAGACUGCCGGUGACAAACCGGAGGAAGUGGGGAUGACGUCAAGUCCUCAUGGCCCUUAUGGGUAGGGCUUCACACGUCAUACAAUGGUCGGUACAGAGGGUUGCCAAGCCGCGAGGUGGAGCCAAUCCCAGAAAGCCGAUCGUAGUCCGGAUUGUUCUCUGCAACUCGAGAGCAUGAAGUCGGAAUCGCUAGUAAUCGCGGAUCAGCAUGUCGCGGUGAAUACGUUCCCGGGUCUU